GACGAACGCUGGCGGCGUGCUUAACACAUGCAAGUCGAACGGAAAGGCCCUGCUUUCGUGGGGUGCUCGAGUGGCGAACGGGUGAGUAACACGUGAGUAACCUGCCCUUGACUUUGGGAUAACUUCAGGAAACUGGGGCUAAUACCGGAUAGGAGCUCCUGCUGCAUGGUGGGGGUUGGAAAGUUUCGGCGGUUGGGGAUGGACUCGCGGCUUAUCAGCUUGUUGGUGGGGUAGUGGCUUACCAAGGCUUUGACGGGUAGCCGGCCUGAGAGGGUGACCGGCCACAUUGGGACUGAGAUACGGCCCAGACUCCUACGGGAGGCAGCAGUGGGGAAUAUUGCACAAUGGGCGGAAGCCUGAUGCAGCAACGCCGCGUGCGGGAUGACGGCCUUCGGGUUGUAAACCGCUUUCGCCUGUGACGAAGCGUGUGUGACGGUAAUGGGUAAAGAAGCACCGGCUAACUACGUG
rnacentral:rRNA from 1 species